rnacentral:rRNA from 1 species
AUGGUAGUCGGGGGCUUCCCCCUGUGAGAGUAGGACGUUGCUAGGC